rnacentral:tRNA from 1 species
CGCCGGUGUGGGUGCCGGGAGAUGGCCGGCCGAUCCGGCGAAUCGCCUGGUGCAGCGGGGGCGCGCAGGGCUGGUUCGAGGCCGCCAUCGCCGCC